rnacentral:lncRNA from 1 species
CGCGCCGCGUGAUGCCUUACCACGCGCGGCGUGAAGCCUUGUUGAAGAUGAAGAUUGCUCUCUGACUUGAUCACGCGCCGCGUGAUUCUGUUACCACGCGCGGCGUAGUUGAUGGAUUUACAACCACGCGCGGCGUGAUAGAUCUGGCGCGCGGCGUGGUUGCCUUCUGUAUAUAUAGUUUCUGCAUAAUUCUGUUUUGGGGUUGGAAAAUUCUGCAAAAUUGAUCUACAUUCUGGUUUUUGGAACUUCAAGAUCGCGAUUCAAGACUCCAGAGGAUAGCUCCAAGCACAUCGAGAGCAUGGAUUCACAAGCCAUGGCGAUGAAGCGAGGAAGCGAACGAAGCACGAUGAGGAGCUAAGCUCCUUUGG